UGGGGAAUAUUGGACAAUGGGCGAAAGCCUGAUCCAGCAAUGCCGCGUGAGUGAUGAAGGCCUUAGGGUUGUAAAGCUCUUUUACCAGGGAUGAUAAUGACAGUACCUGGAGAAUAAGCUCCGGCUAACUCC
rnacentral:rRNA from 1 species